rnacentral:lncRNA from 1 species
AGUGUUGUUUGCUUUAAUAUUCCACUCCUCUAAUCACCUCUAAUGUGUGUCCACUUUGGUUGAGAGGGUUGUCUCAAUAGUACCAAAGUGUGAGAGAAGGUUUUUGAGCUCAAUCAUAAAGCUCUAGUUUGGUUUUAUAGAGUUUCCGGGAAAACUCUUAGAUCGAAUCUACCUUGAAAGAUUUCUAGGUUUUUAAAAGUUUAUUGAUACUUUAAGGUAUUAACUUACCCGUAAAAGUUAGAGGUUUUUAAGAGUUUCUUUGAUACUCUAAGGUGUGAGUCUACCCGUAAAAGACUGGUUCCUAAGCGAAGUAGCCUUAAAGCUUAGAGAGGUUUUUAAGAGUUCCUUGAUACUCUAAGGUACUAACUUACCCGUAAAAGUUGGAGGUUUUUAAGAGUUCCUUUGAUACUCUAAGGUGUGAGUCUACUCGUAAAAGACUAGUUCCUAAGCGAAAUUAGCUUUAAAGCUUAGAGAGGUUUUUAAGAGUUUCCUUGAUAUUCUAAGGUUUUGCCAUAACCUUUAGGCUAGUGAAUUUCGAUAGUUGGUCGGGACUGGAUUAGCCCUUGUUUGGGUGAACCAAUAUAAAUUUUCUUGUGUUGUUCUUUGUUAACUUUAAUGUUUAUCUUUCAUCUAAAAACAACUAAACAAUACUUAAUUGAAAAGGAUCCCUCUUCUAGUUAUCUGGUCAAAUACAGAGGUUGACUACUUUACGCAGAUCCCUCAUCAAGUUAUCUGGUCAACUAUCUGAAGUUAUAUUCAUUGCUUUAAAUUUUUACUCAGAUAUUUGUUCAAAUAUUUACUUAUCAAAUAUAUAUCCAGUUAUCUGGUCAUUUACUCUAUAUCUUGCUUAUCAAAUAUAUAUCCAGUUAUUUGGUCAUUUACUCUAUCAUAUAACUUGUGUUUAUAAUAUAACUUCGUAUUCAUAUACUAUAGUUGUUUAUAAAACACCAUCUGAAAAGUUGACUCUGUAUUCAUAUACUGGAGAAAACUUCAAGAGAAAAAGGCAAGUACAAUAUAUAAUAUUAUAAUAUAUAAUAUUAUAUUCUUUAAAAUCAUAUAAUAGUAUUAUAUUGCUAACAAUAUUAUACUAUUAUUAUUAUACAAUCAUUUGUGUACUUAAGUGUGUGCAUGUAAUUCCGUUAUUAAUCUGCAUAAAUCGAAAAAAGGCUAUUAUCCCCUCUUAUAGCCUCGGAUCACGAUCCAACAAGUGGUAUCAGAGCCAAGUAUCAUUGAAGUUAGACUAACAUCUUAUAACAACAACUAUGGCACUAAAUGGUGAACUCAACACUGGUCUUGAGUCAAACAAAUCUCCCAGGUUCGGCGGAGUAAAGUAUGACUUCUGGAAAAAUAAGAUAAAGUUAUACUUAAAGUCAAUCAACAAUGGAGUAUGGAAGAUCAUAUUAGAAGAUUAUGAAAUUCCAACUAGCAAUGAAGAGACUUGGGGAGAAAUGGACAUCCUCAUGGAAAACAACAAUUCAAGAGCAUUGAAUGCUCUAUAUGGAGCACUCAAUGAAUCUGAGUACAACAUAAUUCGAUGCUUGGAUACAGCUCACAAGGUAUGGAAAGCAUUGGAAGAUUUGCAUGAAGGAACCUCCCAUGUUAAAGAAAACAAGUUGUUACAUGCUACCUCUCAGUUCGAAAGAUUCUCUAUGAGGGAAGACGAGACUAUCGCAGAAAUGAACAUUAGUCUAUCACAAAUAGUCAAUGUUUUGGCUGGACUAGGAGAUCCAGUAACUGAGAAGGAGCAAGUAAGUAAAAUUAUGAGGAGACUUCCAAACAAGUACUACUCCAAAAGGAAUGCUAUUCAAGAGGCUCAUGAUCUCAACAAACUUACAGUUGUGAAACUCUGUGGAAAUCUGAUGGCUUAUAAAGAAGAAAGAUUCAUCUCUAGAGCUAAAGAAGAAGAAAAAGAUAUUGCUCUUAAAAUUCAAUCUGACAAUGAAACAUCAGAAGAUGAUCUAGCAAUGAUCACCAAUCAUCUGAGAAGAUAUCUGAAAAAGAGGAAAGAGAAGAAAGACUCAAGGUCAAGUCAUCAGAAGUUCGACAGAAGAAUGAGCAAGGACUCAAAAGAACCAAUCUGUUAUCUAUGCGACAAGUCUGGACACAUCAAACCGGAAUGUCCUUUGCUAAAGAAAGAAAAAGAAAAUCAGGUACAAUGGACAAACUCUGACUCGGAUCAAGACGAUUGCCUCAUGGCUCAUGAAAGCGACUCUGAGGUAAGUUUUGUAAAUACUAGAUUUAAUUCUUUAGAAGAAGCAUAUCUAGAAUUAAUGGAAAAAUAUAAAAAUGAGAAAAAAAAUAAAUAAACCAUUAAAACUAGAAUACAUGAAUAAAUCACAUAUAGAUCAAUCUAUUGAAUUAGAAGAAUCACAAAAAGAAUGCAUGCAAUUGAAAGAAAGAAAUCUAAAACUCACAAGUAAAUUAAACAAAGAUGAAGAAAAAAUUAAGAUACUUAAGAGUCAAAACUUUGAAUUGCUUAAAAUUUUAGAAUCUGAAGAAAAUCAACCUAAGGAAAUAGAUGAUGAUAAUAUUGAAUUGUUAGAAUUAAAAAUAGAUAAUUUUGAAGAAGAUAUUAUGUUAAAAGAAAAAGAAACAAUCAUGCUCAAAACAGAAAUAGAAUCUAAGAAUAAAAUCAUACUUGAGCAUGUAAAAACCAUACGAAAAUUAUCUGAAAAAUGUAAUGAUAUGCAAUUACAAAUCAAAAAAAUAGAUCAAAAGAAUAAUGUUCUUGAAAAAUUCUUAAAUAGUUCAUCUAAGCUAAAUGACAUGUUGCAAGGUUCAAGCUCAGGUCAUAAGAAAUUUGGCUUAGGGUUUGAAUCAGAUGUACCUAUUAAAAAACCUUCACAUGCUUUAACUUAUAAUGAUUAUUUUGUGAAAGAUCUAGCUACAGAAAACCUAUUCAUCUUAAGAAAAAGAAAAUCUAUCUAAGAUGAAUCAUCCAAAACAAAAAUGGAUGACCAAGGAUGAGUUAAAAAAUUAUAAGCAAAUCAACUAUGUUAAUUCAUCUGGACCCAACUCAGUAUGGGUACCAAAAGGUUAUUCAACUCUUUCAGGAAAAAUAUGUGUCAAAAUGGUUGUUCGACAGUGGAUGCACAAGGCACAUGACUGGAGAUUCAAGUCUGCUGACAGAUUUGACCGACUGACCUACUACUAAGAAGGUCAAGUUCGCCGAUAACAACGAAGGUACCAUUAUAGGUAGGGGUAAUAUAGGUAAUAUAGAUAUACCAUUUUUUAGAGAUGUUUACAUAGUUAAUGACCUUAAACAUAAUCUUAUCAGCAUAAUGAUUGCAUAGUUAAAUUUGAAAAAAAAAUCUAUGAUCAAUCAUUAACUCCAAGAGAGUUAUAAUUGCUAAAGGAUAUAGGAAAAACAAUGUUUAUUACAUAACCUUUAAUCCCUCCAAGCCAACUCAUGACUUAUGCAUGAUUGCAGCAAGUGAUGAAAAGACCUUAUGGCAUAGAAGUUUAGGUCACACCAGUUAUUCUCGAUUAUCCAAACUAUCAAAAGAAGAACUGGUGACUGGGCUGCCUAAAAUAGCAUAUGAGAAAAGUAAUCUCUGUGAUGCUUGUCAAAAAGGGAAACAACAUAAAAGCUCAUUCAAAUCCCUUACAGAUAUGACUACGUCCAGACCUUUGGAACUUCUACACAUGGACUUGUUUGGGCCAACCUAAACCCAAAGUCUUGGCGGAAAAAGGUUCACGUAUAUAAUCAGAAGUGAUCAUGGAGGAGAAUUCGAGAACUCUGAGUUUGAAGAAUUUUGCAAAACUCAUGGAAUAAAACAUGAAUUUGCUUUUCCCCAAGCAUCCCCUCAGAAUGGAGUUAUUGAAAGGAAAAACAGAAUUCUACAAGAGAUGAGUAGAUCCAUGUUACAAGAACAUGAUUCACCACAGUAUCUCUGGGCAGAAGCUGUUAGCACAGCCUGUUAUAUAUUAAACAAAGUGAUUAUUAGAAAAACCUUGAACAAAACUCCAUAUGAGAUCUGGAAUGGAAGAAAACCAAAAGUCUCAUACUUCAAGGUCUUCGGAUGCAAAUGCUAUGUUCUACGAACAAGAGGCAACCAAGACAAAUUUGCUCAGAAAUCUGAUGAAGGUAUCCUGGUAGGAUACUCUAGAAGGAGCAAAGCCUACAAAAUUCUUCUCAAAGAAAAACAAAUAAUGAUCGAAUCAUUACAUGUUGACUUUGAUGAAUCCACUCAGACAACCAUUGUAGAAGAAGAUAAAAUAGUUCCAGAACCAGAAAUCAUCAUUCCAACUGAAGAAACUACCAAUGACGAAAUCGAAGUCUCUGAGCCUCCAUCCAACAGGUUUCUCAGAAACCCACAUUCCACUGAUCAAAUCAUUGGUGACCAUCAAGCUGGUGUUAGAACCAGAUCAUCCAUUCAAGGAAACAAUGUUCUUGACUGUUUUGUCUCUCAAAUUGAGCCCAAGAAAGUUGAUGAAGCCCUCGAUGACAACUACUGGAUUCAAGCUAUGCAAGAAGAACUCAACCAAUUUGAGAGAAAUGAUGUAUGGGAACUAGUUCCAAAACCAAAAGAUACAUCAAUCAUUGGGACAAGAUUGGUAUUCAGAAACAAGCAGGAUGAAGAUGGAACUAUAGUCAGAAAUAAAGCUAGACUGGUUGCUCAAUGAUACAAUCAACAAAAAGGAAUUGAUUAUGAUGAAACCUUUGCACCAGUAGCUAGACUAGAAUCUAUCAGAAUGCUCCUAUCCUUUGCAUGCUACAAGGAUUUCAAAUUAUAUCAAAUGGAGGUAAAGAGUGCAUUCUUGAAUGGAAUAGUCAAUGAGCAAGUAUAUGUCAGACAACCCCCCGGAUUCGAAGAUUACAAAAACCCUGAUCAUGUCCUUAAACUUUAGAAAGCCCUUUAUGGUCUGAAACAAGCACCCCGAGCUUGGUAUGAAAGACUAAGAAACUUUCUCAUUUCUCAGGAAUUUAGAAUGGGGAGUAUAGAUAACACAUUGUUCAUUAAAAAUGUCAAAAGUGACAUUAUUCUAAUCCAAAUCUAUAUGUUGAUGACAUUAUAUUUGGAUCAACCGAUGAUAUUCUAUGAAAGAAAUUUUCUAAACAAAUCGAAGACGAAUUUGAAACGAGUAUGAUAGGAGAGUUGACUUUUUUCUAAGGUCUACAAGUCAAACAGAAGGAGAAUGGAAUAUUCCUUAGUCAAGUAUGCUAAGAAAUUGAUAAAGAAAUUUGACUUGACUGAAUCAAAAUCUAUGCCAACUCCUAUGAGUUCAACACUUAAAUUGGAUAAAGAUGUUGAAGGUCAAUCAGUAGACAUUAAAAAAUAUAAAGGAAUGAUUGGAUCACUGCUAUACUUAACAGCUAGCAGGCCAGAUACCAUGUUUGCAGUCUACUUAUGUGCCGGAUUCCAAUCAGACCCAAAAGAGUCACAUCUCAAAGCGGUUAAAAGAAUAAUCAGGUAUAUCAAAGGAAUAAUUACACUUGGAUUAUUCUACCCUAAGGACAACUCAUUCACACUGACAGCAUACUGUGAUGCUGACUUUGGUGGAUGUAAGACUGACAGAAAAGGCACUAGUGGAACAUGCUUUCUGUUAGGAAGCUCACUCGUAGCAUGGUCAUGUAAAAAGCAAAAUAGUAUUGCUUUAUCCACAACAGAAGCAGAAUAUAUGGCAGCAUCUAAUGCAUGCACUCAAAUUUUGUGGAUGAAACAAACAUUAUCCGACUAUGAUGUAGCUUUAGAAACAGUAGCUCUUAAAUGUGACAACAAGAGUGCAAUUUGUUUAUCAAAAAACUCUGUGUUACAUUCAAGAUCUAAACACAUUGAUGUCAGACAUCAUUUCCUUAGAGAUCAUGUAGAAAAGAAAAAUAUCUGCCUAGAAUAUAUUUCUACCGAAGAUCAAAUGGCUGACGCCUUCACUAAACCUUUAGAUCAAGAAGUUCAUUCAAAAAUCAGAAGAUCUAUGGGUAUAUGUCAGCUUAGUGAAAUUUGAUUAGUUAUGAGUUAUUGCAUCUCAAGCUUUAGUUUUAAUAUUCUUCACUUGAAUAUCCUUAUAUACUUAUAACAUUGAUCAUAACUCAAAUUAAAAUCAUAUUAAAAUGAAUAUACGUAUGCAUGAUUUUAAAAGUUAAAAUCUAAUAUUUACAUGACUAAGUAUAUACAUGCUACUAGAAACUACAUGAUUUAAAUAACUAUCGGAUAAAUGCAUGCCUGGUAAAGUAAAUAUUACAAUAUUAUGCAUGUACACGUAUAUGGUCUUUAAAGAUAUAAAAACACAUGUUUUGAGUUUAGCAUGAUACUAUGACUUAUCCUAUAAAUGCAUGUUAAUACUUAUCGAUGAAUCUUAUGAUAUGCAAUCAUAUAUGAAUCUAUAAGUAAAUGAAUCAUAUGCAUGCAUGAUGAUAUAAAAUACUUAAAUACAUGAUAAUCAAACAACUGAUUUUGACUUACGUGUAUAACUAUUUAACUCAUGCAUAUUCCAUGUCAUCACAUACAUAAUUGAGAAAAUUAUAAGAUUAAUCCUAUGUUGCACACAUACUACAUAAUGUUAUAUCCUACUUUAAGAAAAAUCAACAAACAUCACAUGGUAUUGGUAAACCAAACACUAUCAUAUGGUAUUGAAAUCUCCGUCUGCACAUUCUGCAACCUCGAAGCUUCUACUCACAAAACCCAAUUCGAGUUCUGUAAAUCUCAGAAGCACGAUCGGAAGUAGACAAUCUCGAUCUGCUCAAACCUGCACGAAUGACAACUCACCUGCAAGACUUCGGCAACCACGUCGCCUGCAGCAGCCGAAUUUUUCAUGCUCUGCCAAAUUACUUGCGAUUCACACUCAGUCAAUGCAAAAUCCGAAAAGAAAAUCCUCAACAUUGGAGCACUUGCAACACAGACAGGAUCUACCAAAAGGUGUUUUGAGACCACCAAAAGGUAUGUUUUAAAUUAACUAUUAUUCAGUUUGCAGCUUUCAAUAAUAGAUAAGAAGAGGACAUGAUGAGACAACUCAGCAUUAUCUAUUAUCAAGUAAAGUUAGAAUCUUAAUCUUACUAAGAUACAAGUCACUAAAAUAUAAGCCCUGCUAGGAUCCUAGCUAGGCUUAGACAAUAGUUUCAAAACAUCAUCUUCAUUACUUGUUAAACCCUAACAAGUUAUGUCAGUUUAUUGGUAUAAGUUUAUGGGAAAUCGAAAAACUCUCUUGAGAAAGAGACUACAGGAUAAAAUCAGACGAUUUUCAUGGUCUAGUCAAACCAAGAAACUCUUGGAAACUAAAGUAGAAGUGUAAACCUAAAAAGCUUGAAAGCAUUAUCUAUAAAUACAAGGUUAUUCACUCUCAAACCAAAACCUUCCCUUCUCACCCAUUUCUACUAUCUUCAAAAUGGAUCCAGACUGGAAAAAGGUAAUGGAGUUUAUAACAGAUAAAGGGAAGAAGCAAGUAGGUCAAUCAACAACCAAAGAUGACAUAACUACUCACUUGCUUAAGGAGAUCAAUGAGGCAAAAUCAAGGAUUAAAUUGUUGAAGUCAAGUAUUAAAAACCAAGGAGUUCUGAUCGCCGACAUGCAAUAUCAAAUCGAUCUAUAUUGAAAGCUCCCACUGAAGAAGCUAAUACCAUCACUAAUUAACCAUAAUUUUAUCAUGUGUUUUGGUUAGCUUGCUAUGCCUACUCGAUGCCAACUAAGUUAGAUGUUGUUUUGAUCGAUGGUGUUCAAACACCACUCCAACAUCUGUUGAUAGAUGUUUCUACUUUAUUUAAGUCUGUUUUGUUUGAGGUCCAAUCACAGACCUAAGUCUACUUUAUUCUUUAGUGAAAAACUUCAAUGAAAAAUCAAUUUUCACUAAAUAUUAGAAUACUGCAUAACUUCAAGGGCUUAAGCAUAAAUUAUUUAUGAAGCUUUUUAAGUAGAUUCACUGAAACUUAAAGGUUCAAGUGAUAUUUUACAGUGAAUGAAUAUUUAUUUAAAACUUCAGGGACUUAAAAUUAAUAUUUACAUGAAGUUUUUAAAUCAAAAAAUGCUUAGAAAUAUUUAAUACUUCUAAGGUUUAAAAUGAAAUUUUUUAAGUAUUUAUCAUAACUUCAAAGGGCUUAAAUGAAAUUUUUUAAGUGAAAUUUUAUUAUUAAGACUUUAUGUAACAUCCCGUAUUUUAACAGACAAUAAUGAAAUUAAUGAAACAUGUUCAAUCAUACAACAAAUGACUAACUACCUUUAUUACAAUUCAAAGGGUUCAAAAUGCAAGUAUCAAAAAUGCGAAAACGGUAAACUCCUAAGGAGACCAUGUACGAGACCAUUGUUGUCGCUGCUCCCUUAUCUUAAUCUGCAAUAACAAACAGAACAGAAUGAGUUUUGAAGUCAAAACUCAGUACAGAUAUCAUAUUACUUCCCUUUAUGUUCUUUAUUUCUAGGUUGAUAAACAGACUCGUCUAGCCAGACGUCUUAGGGCUUCAAGCCCCCUCGUAGGAACGACUGUUGUCAUUCCCCAAACACGACUUGUGUGGUGCACAAGCUCGACCAAACUCGAAUUACUCCGAAGAAUAAUUCGACCAGACUGCCCCGUCGGGCCGGUUAGCCUCGUUAGGCUCAAACUCGAAUUCCCCCAUGGUUCACCCGACCAAUAUCCCCAAAGGAUCACAUUAUCAGAUUUAGUCUCUCAGCUCAAAUUCGGGUUCCCCAUGGGUUCAUUCGACCAGACUCCCCCGUCGGGGCACAAUCCAUCAUAUUUUUACUUUUUUAGUUCCAUUCUUUAAUUGUUGGCCUUUGUAUGGUUCGCCUCGUUCAUAUCGAGGUCCGAACUUCCAAUCAUGGAUUCAGGUCAACCAUCUUCCUGAUCCAUUUAUUCCCAACGUACUAGCUAAGUGAGUGCGAACCCAGAAUGAACCUUAAGGUGAAUGAAGGGUUCCCCUCGAGAAAUCCUUGAUUCAACCUAAGUCUCAUCCUCGCCUACUCUCUUAGCCUAGGUCGGAAUUAGACCAUAUGAGCACAGAAGGUCUUCCCGAGGACUCUUGUGCGUCACUAGGUUACUAACCCGACCCCACUCAUACACACCCCAAGGCUUCCGUUUACCUUGGGUUCCCUUCCCUACCAUACAACAAGAAUACUCAUCAACAACUUAUCACAACUAUAUCACAUAUUUCUGUGGUUUGCUAGAUGCAUAUCACCUUAGUCGAUUUCAUAUACAAUAUAACAAGACUACUUAACAAUUGAAAAGAGCAUAAUAUCAUUAACCAAAAUAUAGAUAAGGCAUGCAUAAAAAUCCAUCCACAAAUGGGGCAUCACGUACUACACAACAUGUAUAACCAUGUAGAAACUACGUAUAAUCUCAUCGAACUUGCAUAAGAUAUGUAUAAGGAUCCAUUAUCAUGAGUAACAUCAAAACACAUAAAACUCAUAUUCAAAAAUGUGUAUGAAAUUAUGUGCAAAUCGUAUAAAAAGGUAUAUAAAAGUAUACAUAAAAAUCCAGCGACACAUAGAACAAUAAACACAUCAAAACAAGUGUAGAUAAACAUGUAGGAAACCAUGUAUAAAUCUCGUCUAACUUGAGUAAGACAUGCAUAAGGAUUUAUUAUCAUGAGUAUCAUCAAAACACAUAAAAACCCUAUACAAAAACGUAUAUAAAACUACAUGCAAACCAUAUAAAAAGGUAUCUAAAGUAUGCAUAAAAAUCCAGCAACACCUAGAACAUUAAACACAUCAAAACAAGCAUCGAUAAACAUGUAAGAAAACAUGUAUAAGCCUUGUCAAAAGGUAUAGAAGUACAUGAAUAAAGAUCUAUCAUGAUAUGUAGUACUAAAACAUGUAAAACAAUAUGCAAAAACGUAAGUAAAACUAUGUGCAAAUCAUAUAAACGGUAUAUAAACGUAUGCAUAAAAAUCCAGCAACACAUAGCGUAUCAAACAACCAUGUAUAAGCAUAUAGAAAACUAUCAAAUUUUUCAUAAUAAUGUGGAGACUAGACUUACUCUUACACAUACUUACCACCAUUCCUACAAAAGAAACUAUCAAAGAAGUCUACUACGAUUUCCGUACCUUUCUUUUUCCUAGCUUUUCUCCGAGCUCUAGCUUCUCCUAGCUCCCAAAACGUAUCCUCCCUCUUUUUCUUUUCCUUUUUAUUUUCGUCCACCUCUCUCCCCUAUCUUUUAUAGAUUUCAUUUGGGGCAUCUAGAAUUACUCUAAUAUCUUUGAUUUUUAAAUUUAAGUUAGAGUAUUUUUGUCAUAAUCUUUUCCCCCAAAUCUUCUUAUUAAAUGUUAAUUGCCAUUUCUUUUCUUUCCCUUUUUUAUUCUAGAAUUUUCACUUUAAUUAAUUGGCUCAUUAAUUAGCCAAUUCUUUCCUUGCCUCCUCUUGCCUAACCCUAACCCUAGUCGACCACCUUAAUGGGAUCUAGUCGACUAGCACAUAAUUAAGGUUGGGUUUAAUUGGUUUUAGCCCACUUAAUUAUUGCCCAAUGGGUGUAUUAAUUAAGUUAGUCUAAUGGUUAUUGUAUUAACCCACUAAUGGUAUGUCCCAUGAGUGUAUUAAUUAAGUUAGCCUAAUGGUUAUCACUUUUGUAGUUAACUCCUUAGAAAAAUUCUAAUUGAUGGGUUAAUUGCACAUAAGCCCUUACUGAAUUUUAUUUUUAUAGUUAACCAUUCUACAUGACGGGUUAAUUGCACCUGAAUCCUUACUGAAUUUUCAUGGGUAUUACACUUUAAGGACUGAAAUGAAAAAUUUUAAAUCUUUUAAAAACUUAGUGAAUAUUUACAUGAUUAUACAUUUGUCACUAAGACAGAUUUUAAAUGCUCGAUUUUUCUUAAAGUAAUUAGUGAAUAUUGAUUUAUACAUACAUAUCAUUCACUAAUAUAUAUAUUAUAUGGAUUAUAACAUUAUAAAAUCUUUAAUCCAUACAUGUUAAGAUCAAUUUAUCCAUAACACACAUGGAUUAUUAUUCAUUGCAUGAUCUUAACAUAAGUCAUUUUAAAUUAUCAUACUUGCCUUAUAAUAUACAUCAAAAUUGGCUCCAAAUCCAAUAUUUUAUAAAUGAGUAUAAAUUACAUGUUAUUUCUCCUAUAUGAUUGACUAACACUCUUAUAAGCAAGAAGUCACAUUUGGUCAACUACACAAAUCGAAUUUGUGAUCAAAGCUCAAUAAAGUAUGAAGUUUUAUUUUCUCCACAAAUUAGAUAUGUCCUAUCAUUAAGGGGGAGAUACUUCACAGGUAUCUAUUUUAACUUUGUCGAUACCUUAUUGUUUUAAGGGGGAGAAAUCAUGCAUGAUCCACUGCUUUUAAAUUAAAUAUUAUGGGUCAAUAAUUUAGGGGGAACAUGCUCAUAAGGUAAAAUAAAAUAGACUAGACAUGAAUUAAAACAUAUAUGCCAUCGACAAAGGAGGAGAAUGUAGAAUCAAAAUUGUCGACAUAGGAUUAUAUUUUAAUCAUGUCAAUUUAAACCCUAAUUACACUGUUAAUCUAUAAAGGUUAAAUAAGUCAAUCGAUAAUUAAACCUAACUCCAAUUAAUUAAUUAAUCAUGUGAGUCAAAAGUUUAAUUCAAAGUUAAAAGUCAAAUUGGAACAAUUACAUUUUUACCUUUAAUAUUAUUAUUAUUAUCUUUUGACACUUUAUUCAAGGUAUAAUAUUCCAAGAGGACAAAACACUAUUCACGUUGGACUUUAUUCAAAGAUAAGAUUCUCCAACAAAUACUAUCCAAGAAAGCACUAUUUAAGAUAAGAUCAAAGACAAAGCUUGGAUUUAUAUGAAAAAUCAAAGAGCCAUCCAUUGAAGAUCCAAAGGUGGACAUUGAGUGGCCAAGGCUAUUAAUAGAAGGGUAAUUCCCUCAUUUUCACUCACCACACAACAAGCAAAUCAAAAGAGUUUUUCACUCCACAUUUGAACUCUCCCACGUUUUGCCUCCAAGCUUCCAAGUGCUCAAGUGUCUUAGCUUUCCAAAGCUUCAAAAGCUCUUCAACUUCUUCUAAUUUUCUUGUUCAUCUCUACAAGUAAGAAGUGUUGUUUGCUUUAAUAUUACACUCCUCUAAUGACCUCUAGUGUGUGUCCACUUUGGUUGAGAGUGUUGUCUCAAUAGUACCAAAGUGUAAGAGAAGGUUUUUGAGCUCAACCAUAAAGCUCUAGUUUGGUUUUAUAGAGUUUCCGGGAAAACUCUUAGGUCGAAUCUACCUUGAAAGAUUUUUAGGUUUUUAAGAGUUCCUUGAUACUCUAAGGUACUAGUGUUCCUUAGAUACUCUAAAGUGUGAGUCUACCCGUAAAAGACUGGUUCCUAAGCGAAGUAGCAUUAAAGCUUAGAGAGGUUUUUAAGAGUUCCUUGAUAUUCUAAGGUACUAACUUACCCGUAAAAGUUGGAGGUUUUUAAGAGUUCCUUUGAUACUCUAAGGUGUGAGUCUACUCGUAAAAGACUGAUUUCUAAGCGAAGUUAGCCUUAAAGCUUAGAGAGGUUUUUAAAAGUUUCCUUGAUACUCUAAGGUUUUGCCAUAACCUUUAGGCUAGUGAAUUCUGAUAGUUGGUCGGGACUGGAUUAGCCCUUGUUUGGGUGAACCAGUAUAAAUUCUCUUGUGUUGUUCUUUGUUAACUUUAGUUUUUAUCUUUCAUCUAAAAACAACUAAGCAACACUUAAUUGAAAAGGAUCCCUCUUCCAGUUAUCUGGUCAAAUACAGAGGUUGACUACUUUAGGCAGAUCCCUCAUCCAGUUAUCUAGUCAACUAUCUGAGGUUAUAUUCAUUGCUUUAAAUCUUUACUCAGAUAUUUGUUCAAGCAUUUACUUAUCAAAUAUAUAUCCAGUUAUCUGGUCAUUUACUCUAUAUCUUGUUUAUCAAAUAUAUAUUCAGUUAUCUGGUCAUUUACUCUAUAAUAUAACUUGUGUUUAUAAUAUAACUUGAUAUUCAUAUACUAUAGUUGUUUAUAAAGCACCAUCUGAAAAGUUGACUCUGUAUUCAUAUACUGGAGUAAACUUCAAGAGAAAAAGGCAAGUCCAAUAUAUAAUAUUAUAUUCUAUAAAAUCAUAUAAUAGUAUUAUAUUGCUAACAAUAUUAUACUAUUAUUAUUAUACAACCAUUUGUGUACUUAAAUGUGUGCAGGUAAUUUCGUUAUUAAUCUGCAUAAAUCGAAAAAAAGCUAUUAUCCCCCCUUAUAGCCUCGGAUCACGAUUCAACACAUACUUGGACAAGGGAUUGUCAGGUUGUGAAAAAGAUUGAACAAUUCUGUUAGUCUUGCAUAGUUUGUUCCACCUGGGCAUUUUCAGAACGUUUGGUAAACUUCGGUAACUGUUGACAAUUAGAUAAUGUAUAAGAUGAGAGCAUGGAACCCCGCUGUAUUCAAAUCGAUGACAUGUGCAAGUCGAUGUAGAAUUACCUUUCGUAAGAGUGAGUUUAAAUAACACGGUCUGUCUUUCUAAAGAAAUAACAGGUAGAUAUGUAAUAUCCUUUAGGAAGAAAGAAGAAAUUAUUAAAAAAAAAUUGUUGGG